rnacentral:rRNA from 1 species
UACGGAGGAUGCGAGCGUUAUCCGGAUUUAUUGGGUUUAAAGGGUGCGUAGGCGGGCUUUUAAGUCAGCGGUAAAAAUUCGGGGCUCAACCCCGUCCGGCCGUUGAAACUGGGGGCCUUGAGUGGGCGAGAAGAAGGCGGAAUGCGUGGUGUAGCGGUGAAAUGCAUAGAUAUCACGCAGAACCCCGAUUGCGAAGGCAACCUUCCGGCGCCCUACUGACGCUGAGGCACGAAAGUGCGGGGAUCGAACAGG